UCUUCAAUGUCAUCAUGGAUAAUUCAUGGAUCUUGAUGAAAACAAAUCAGAUUUCAUGUGUAGAGGACUGAAAUCUAUGAGUUUGUGAAAUUUUUAACAGAUUUAGAUUCAGCUUUAUUUGUCACAUCCAUAACACACGUUACAGAAAACAUGGGAGCAAAAUGUGGUCCUCCACCGGUCAGGGUGCAGGUCACAUUCAAAAACAACAUAUUAUAUCACAUUUAGACACAUUAUCCAUGUGACAUAAAACGUAAAACACACAUAAAAAGAUAGCAGCGAUAAAAACUUAGCAGUCAAAUACUGGUUAAUAAAGAAAAAGUUGAACUGGGAAGGUGACUGGGUGGAAUAAAGAGAAGCUGUUUUUAUUCAUUAAUAUUUUGGAUGAAAUGGUUAAAUUACACUUUGCUGAUAUCAACCUUUCGUUUUCCUUUUCACAGUUACAAAGCCAAAGAGAUAAAGGCUGGAUCCAGUGCAGCCUUCUUCACUUGAGACCACUUUUAAUAACAAAGAUAGCACAAGUCCUGCCGACAGCUCUGUCUCAAAAGAACAGGAAAGAAAGGAGUAGAACGAUUGGUUGGAUGCAGAGUUUAAAGAAUUAGAUCCUGAAGAGAUGGCUAGAUGUGGGGUGAAUGAAGCCUAUUCUGUCCUGCCAGAAAAACAGCAGAAAAAUGACCAACUACAAACAGACAACGCAAACAAUUCAACAACAAUGUCCUCGGUUGGAAGAAAUGGCCAAAUUACACUUUGCCGAUAUCCACCUUUUGUUUUCCUUAUUAAUUAAAAAGCCAAAGAGAUCGAGGAUGGAUCCAGUUAAAGAGUGUAAUCCACCAAAGUCUCAGCAGAUGAUGGAUGAAGCCUCCACUGCUGCCAACAGCUCUGUUCCAGAGGAAGAGGGAUUAGAUGAGUCGUUCGAUAUGAUGGCUGAAGAGUAUGACAAACAGAUAAAUUACAAAAACUACAAAAAGAGAAGAUGAUCUCAGACUCCCUGUGUCCCAAGGUCAACAGCUUUGCAUUCAACUAUCCAGAAACGGAAGUGGCUCAACAUUUUGACCCCAUGUUUUGGCCAAAUUACACUUUGCUGAUAUCCACCUUCGGUUUUCCUUAUUAGUUACAAAGCCAAGGAGAUAGGAUGGAUCCAGUUGAAGAGGGUAAUCUACCAAAGCAGAUGAGGAUGGGUGAAGCCUCCACUGAUGCCAACAUCUCCGUCACAGGAGACGAGGGAUUGGAUGAAUGGAUUGAAAUGAUGCCUAAAGAGUAUGACAAACAGGUAAAAGUACGGUUCAAACUCAGAAGGACUCCUUUACCCCCUGUGGAUUACAAAAAGAUGCCUCGAAUCCAGAAACAGAAGUGGCUCAACAGGAAGUUACCUACAAGACUAUUUCCUGGUGAAAGUGUGGAGACGGAAACGACAGAUGGACGUACAGAAAGGGAAGAUGGGAAAUAAGAAGUGAAAGAAGAUGUACGAUUAAUGUACCAAUGCCAUCAGUUUCAAAAAUAAAUUU